rnacentral:rRNA from 1 species
CCUGCCGUAAACUUAGAUACUUCCCCACAACAAGUAUCCGCCUGGGCACUACGAGCGCCAGCUUAAAACCCAAAGGACUUGGCGGUGCUUCAGACCCCCCUAGAGGAGCCUGUUCUAGAACCGAUAACCCCCGUUCAACCUCACUACUCCUUGCUUUUCCCGCCUAUAUACCGCCGUCGCCAGCUUACCCUGUGAAGGAGUCACAGUAAGCAGGAUGGGCAAUGCCCAGAACGUCAGGUCGAGGUGUAGCGUACGGAGUAGGAAGAAAUGGGCUACAUUAUCUGAAGCAGAUUAAAUAACGAAGAGUUACCUGAAACCGGUGACUUGAAGGUGGAUUUAGCAGUAAGGGGAGAAUAGAGCGCCCCCCUGAAGCCGGCUCUGAAGCGCGCACACACCGCCCGUCACUCUCCCCAACAACAUCUAUACAUGGUAUAUAACACAGCAAAAGCUACAAGGGGAGGCAAGUCGUAACAUGGUAAGUGUACCGGAAGGUGCACUUGGAAUAAC